GUUUUGCGUUGCAGAUAAAUUUCCUCACUUCGAAACCAAAAUUUUGCUGCUCGGUUCUUCUCUCAUUAUUGUUUCUUCUUUUUGGGUUUUUACUGUGAAUACUGUUGUAAUUCUUCUUGUUCAAGGAUUUCUACUAGGAAUGUUGUUGCAUUGAUGCUUCUUCAAGAUUGUCAGUAUUUUGCAGUUGGAGAUUAAAAGAUUAAUGAUGCAAGUAUUCAGAAGUAAAUGUUUAAAAUGACAACGUUGAACCUUAAUGAGAUACCCAGGGAAGAUGGUUCAGCUUCCCAUGAAAAGACAACAAAUGCAUAAGCUUUACACAGUGCCACAAUCCUCCACCUGAUGUGUGCCAUUGGAUUACUCUCUAAAAGCUUAUUUGGAAGUAAUUUUUCUCAAUCCACGGAUGAAAAUACAUGUCCAAGGCUCAUUGGUAUUAUUCUACUGACCUGUGUGCUACUUCUAAUUUAUGGUGGUUUGGUAGUGCAAUGUUGUGACAGGUUAAAAGUAGACCACUGGCCAAAUAUCUUAAUAAGACAUCUGUGAUAGAUGGUACUAUAAUGGGCAAAGCUGCUCAGUUAACCUUGGGCUGCAGUCAAAUGGAGUGGGAGUGGAUGAAUAGUGGGAUAUUUUUGUAUUGGCACGGACGUUUGAUUGAGGCGUAUAAGAAGGUGGGAGGAAUGCUGCACAGUGCUGACGUGGGUCGAGGUGUUAUUGGUGUCAUUGAUGUUACAAUGUUGUGCAGAGUGUUGGUAAUGGGAAUGUAUGGGUUCUUAAUAACAAGCACGGGUUCCCGGACUUUGAGAGAUAUGCUAUGUUGGAGGAAUGGUUGGGAAGGAAAGCCGACGAUUAUUGGGAUGAAAAUUUUGAUAAUCUUGCUUUGAAAAGGGGCAGCACUCAUUUUAUACCUGAUAAUGAGUGGGUACAGUGUGACAAGCGUCGGAAGUGGAGAAUGCUUAGUCCAGGUUUUAACAGCAAUAGCUUGCCUUCUGAAUGGUUUUGGUGCUUGCCUCCUUUCAAAGGCUUGCGCAGCGAUCCCGAGCAGAAGCUUAAGCCUGGUAUUGUCACAGUGGGGGCAAAGAGGUCGCACAUCACGAGUGACAAUGAUCCCCUGUAUAUUGAAGUGAGCCCAUCAGCAAUCAUAAAGCGAAAACUCGUAACCUUUCGAAACCAUUUUUCUCCAUUUUUUUCUAAUUUAUAUUUUGUUGUUUCAUCCCAUACAAGCACUAGGGUAAAUGCUACUAUGACUGUCCCCAUUUUAUUUUUUCUAUAAAUUUCUGUUCGUUUUUUUUUCCCCCAACCAAUGCAACCACCUUGCAAGUAAGUUGGGGAAUUUCUGUUUUCUCUCUUUUUGGUCAGUAUGCCCUUUUAAUGACUUGAGGGCCUCUCCUAUUAUAAUGUGCCAUUAUAAAUUUAGACCCCAAUGUACUAUCAGUACCCCCUAGGCCAUCACUUACCAAAAGAAUUACAAAAAAGGAACAGACCAUAUUCUAUCACUAUGGAGUAUUUUUUUAGCCUAAAAACAUCCAAAGGUUCCUCUGGCAAAAUAUUUAAACGGUAAAAGUAUAUAGCAAGAUCAACUACUUGUGGUACCAAAAGCUCACGAUCACCUUUAGCCGUCAGUUGCUAAAACAAGUAGUUGGGGGCAACACACUGACCAUGCUUAAAAGUUUGAAUUGUUUUUCUUUUUCUAACUUUGUGUGGAGAAAGGACACUCUUCUAGUCAGCUAAUUUCAUAUCUAAUGUCUAGGGGUGAUGUGGUAUUUCUACGUCAAAGGUGUGAGCGAUCUUACAGUAUGAAAUCCAUAUCCUAAAUUUGCGAUUUCAAAAUAUUGCAUUUUAUUUGCUGAUAUCUUGAAAAUAAUGUGUUCUACACCUUGAUCUUACAAAUUAAGUAGGAACAAAAUCCGUAAUCCCGAAGGGAAGUUAUGGUAGUGUGUACAGCUGGGAAUCCACUGUCCCUUACCAACUAUUGAUGGUGGAUAUUAACUUACUAUUCACAUGGGUACAUCUGGUGGUGGACUUUCUCUUGGAUACAGUUCAGUCGCAAGAACAGGGCGCCGAUGUGUACUGUGGACCAUACAGAGGCUGUGUAUGGUUUGUCUCUCCAAAUCCCAGCUCCCAAACUUACCUACUCCUCUGCUUAUACUAGUUUUACCCACGCAAAACUGCUAAAAAAUGGAUAUUAAAUAAAAACAUACUAGAUUAUGGAAAAAGAAAGACCUUACUGCCUCCCCAAAAACCUCCAAAUAUUUAAUAAGUUGAUCCUGCAGGAGGUGAAAUGACUUCGCAGUUAGUUUCUGUGUUGUCUUGUCUUUUCUUGACAUUUCUCAUUAUGUUAAUUUAUAAUUCAAAUUCAAUUGUAACUGGAAUUUGUGUUGUCAUACAUAGGAUGGUCCUUUUGUUUUGUUAUGUUUUGUUUUUUGCACUUUUUAUUUAUUUAUUUAUAUGUAGCUCAGAAAGGAGAAGGCUCACUCAAGAAAGAAGACACUGGUGAAGAGAGGCCUAUUCUCAAAAGGAUAAGAAGAGGCCCUUCAAAGUGUCGCCGGUAUAAGAAGCCAUACCGGCUAAUUCUUGCUUUCCUUCAAUGCUUAGAAUAUCCCUUUUUUCUCAUUUCGUUUUCUAAUGAUCUCUGAAAAUGUUUCUGAUGAAUUCUCAAGCCUUUUUAAACAGUUUUUGUUAAGUCCUGGUUUUCCAUUUUCUCUUACUGUACAUGCAAUAAUGUAAAUUUAUUCUG